rnacentral:rRNA from 1 species
GGAGGAAAAGAAACUAACAAGGAUUCCCCUAGUAACUGCGAGUGAAGCGGGAAAAGCUCAAAUUUAAAAUCCCUUGGGAAUUGUAAUCUAAAGAAGUGUUUUCGGUCGUUGCCUCGGACAAGUCCUUUGGAACAAGGCGUCAUAGAGGGUGAGAAUCCCGUCCUUGCCGAGCUACCAACGUCUAUGUGAUACACUCUCGAAGAGUCGAGUUGUUUGGGAAUGCAGCUCAAAAUGGGUGGUAAACUCCAUCUAAAGCUAAAUAUUGGCGAGAGACCGAUAGCGAACAAGUACCGUGAGGGAAAGAUGAAAAGCACUUUGGACAGAGAGUUAAACAGUACGUGAAAUUGUUGAAAGGGAAACGCUUGAAGUCAGUCGCGUUGCAGGGACUCAGCCGCAAGGUGCAUUUCUCGGUAACGGGUCAACAUCAGUUUCGAGCGCGGGAAAAGGGCUUGGGGAAUGUGGCAGCCUCGGCUGUGUUAUAGCCCCCUGUCGUACACCGCGCCCGGGACUGAGGACCGCUAAUAGGAUGUUGACGUAAUGGCUUUAAGCGACCC